rnacentral:rRNA from 1 species
GAUGAACGCUGGCGGCGUGCCUAAUACAUGCAAGUCGAGCGAAUGGAUUAAGAGCUUGCUCUUAUAAAGUUAGCGGCGGACGGGUGAGUAACACGUGGGUAACCUGCCCAUAAGACUGGGAUAACUCCGGGAAACCGGGGCUAAUACCGGAUAACAUUUUGAACCGCAUGGUUCGAAAUUGAAAGGCGGCUUCGGCUGUCACUUAUGGGUGGACCCGCGUCGCAUUAGCUAGUUGGUGAGGUAACGGCUCACCAAGGCAACGAUGCGUAGCCGACCUGAGAGGGUGAUCGGCCACACUGGGACUGAGACACGGCCCAGACUCCUACGGGAGGCAGCAGUAGGGAAUCUUCCGCAAUGGACGAAAGUCUGACGGAGCAACGCCGCGUGAGUGUUGAAGGCUUUCGGGUCGUAAAACUCUGUUGUUAGGGAAGAACAAGUGCUAGUUGAAUAAGCUGGCACCUUGACGGUACCUAACCAGAAAGCCACGGCUAACUACGUGCCAGCCGCCGCUGUAA